rnacentral:rRNA from 1 species
UGGGGAAUAUUGGUCAAUGGGCGAGAGCCUGAACCAGCCAUCCCGCGUGCAGGAAGAAUGCCCUAUGGGUUGUAAACUGCUUUUUCGCAUGAAGAACACCUUUGACGUGUCAAAGGCUGACGGUAAUGCGUGAAUAAGCACCGGCUAACUCCGUGCCAGCAGCCGCGGUAAUACGGAGGGUGCAAGCGUUAUCCGGAUUUAUUGGGUUUAAAGGGUGCGUAGGCGGCUCUUUAAGUCAGUGGUGAAAUCCUGCAGCUCAACUGUAGAACAGCCAUUGAAACUGAAGAGCUUGAGUAAUCUUGAGGUAGGCGGAAUGUGUAGUGUAGCGGUGAAAUGCUUAGACAUUACACAGAACACCGAUUGCGAAGGCAGCUUACUAAGGAUUUACUGACGCUGAUGCACGAAAGCGUGGGGAUCAAACA